AAAUCUAUAAUUAAAAUAUAAUGGUCUGACCAACUAUUACUUCUGAUAAAUAUGUCUUUCAGAGCCCCGACCAAGUUCAAAUCCCCCAUACAGAUAUCAAGUCAGUCGAAGAAGCAUAGAAUUUGAAAGUGUGUGUGUAGUCUUUACCAGUGGAUGAAAUAAACUCCAACAGUCGUACAAAUCAUUAUGUUUAUACAGUCUAUUUAGGGCAGCCGAUUGUUUAAUUAAUCUGUUAUCUGUGGCUAGAUGUGCAGGUAUCAUCCGCUUGUCCAUUUUGGGGUCUGAUAUGCAAUUAAAAUCUCCUGCUAGUAUCAGACGGCCUUUACGAAUAAGAUCUGCUUGGUUUAUUAUUUUAGUAAGGCCUCUAACAGGUAAAUAAAUAUUGACUAAGGUACAGAAUUGGCCGUUAAUUUGAC